GGAGCGACCCGUUUUAAGGUUUGAGGAGGGGAGGGGGCGGGACAGGACGGGAGACGUCCCUCAGUCCACGGAAAUCAUCACAGCAGGAAGAACUCUGCCUUCAUAAAUGUAUGAGGGAGAUGGUCCAGGUCCAGGCAGAGACCUCUCCUUCACUGGUCUCUCAGGUGUCCGGUUUACUUCUGGACCACAUGCAGAAGAACGUACUCUCGACAGGAUCAGUUGUUACUAAUGAUGAAGCCCGAAGUGGAUCACGUGUUGUUAAAACUGACAAAGGAGCUGAGCUGCAUGAAAAACCCAAAGCUGGAGCUGAAAGAAACUCAAAGAUGGAAACUUCCUGAAUCACGGCUGCUGCCGGAGGUUUACAUGUCUGUGGUGCGUGAAGGCAUUUCCACUGUAAACCACAAGUUUAAUCACAUCAACACGAUGAUUCAGGAUGAGGAUCUCAGCCGGGGGACAUGUUCCUCAGAAAUUAAAUCCAAACCAGACUAAACCUGUAGGGGACCAAUUUGGACUGUAAGAUCUUUCACAUAAUUCCAUCAUAAUUCUGAGCUAGCUUGUUUGGAUCCAUGUUUUAAAAAAAAUAAUAAAACAAAAGAUACAAGAUGGAUUGAAUGUCUCAACCCAACAACAGACCAGCAGAUGUGGUGGAAAUUUCCCAUAAAGAGGCAGAUGAGAGAGUUGUCUUUUGUGUGAUUUAUUAUAAAAAGAAAGGAAAAUAAAAAUAAUGGGGAAACCAAAUCAAAAACAUGGAUGUUGAUCGUGCACAUCAACAAACCAAAAAACAGCUGGGGAGAUCAGACAGCCUUGCCAUGCAGCCCAAUCAGACUGCAUGCACCAUCUCAAUCCUGUCACAGUGCGUGUGGAGAUGUUUACAUUCUCACACCUGCAUCACUGGCGUCUGACUAUCAGAGAGGAAGGAGCGCUUAGUUUCAACAGACAGAGACACAACUCCCUGGCCUUGGGUUUGGGGGCUAGAGUCCAGAGUCUAUCAGAGAUAACCUUUGAACAAUCUAGGUCAAAUGUCAAAUACAUUAAGAGUAAGACAAAACACAAGAUAUUAAUUGCCGAACAUAAGUCAUAAAUCAUUUAAUAACCACUUAGAAUAAGGAAGAAACUAUUUUUCCCAUAACACAGA